GAAAGAGGCUAUAAUCGCUGUUUUUCCCCGCCACAAAUUUGCUAUGGCAGUUUGCUAUGGCUGGAGGAGAAGGAGCGUUAGUCAACGCGUGCCUGAAAGGCCACCUCACGGAUUUGGCUGGUCAUGACUUGACUACCUCAUGAAGAUUUUGACCAAGAGAGGCUACAAAUUCACCACCACAGUUGAGUGAGAAACUAUGCUACACUGUGCUGGAGAUGGCUACUGCUGCUUCCACUUCCUCCCUGGAAAAGAGCCAUGAACUUCCUGGUGGUCAAGUGUUCGCAUUAAUACUCUGAACCCCAGGUUUGAGAGGGUCUACCCCACCACCACCACUCGCUCAAGGCUUCUUCUGGCUCCAGGAACCUGUUUUCAGGGUCAAAAGUCAGUCGUAGAAACUGUGAAUUAAUAUGUAAGAAAAGAAUAUCUGAACAUGUACAAAAGACGCGCGCCCCCCCGCCCUGAUAACUAUCUGAGAUGAGGAUGCUCAACUCCCAAGUAAAAAAAUAAGUGCGUCGUCUAGGCAGGUUUCAGACCCCGAACGUAUCAGUUUGAAAAGCGGGUCAAGACGGGAGAGGAGACGAGGUUGUAGCAAACGGCUUCUCCAACCCGGACCAGAGAGAGAGAGAGAGAGAGACGCACACAAUCGCCUGUCCGUGCUGAUAGGUAAAUUCAAUUUGACGAAAUAAAUAAAUAAAAUCAA